ACGCUCGACACCUACGGGAAGCAGCAGUGGGGAAUAUUGCACAAUGGGGGAAACCCUGAUGCAGCGACGCCGCGUGAAGGAUGAAGUAUUUCGGUAUGUAAACUUCUAUCAGCAGGGAAGAAAAUGACGGUACCUGACUAAGAAGCCCCGGCUAACUACGUGCCAGCAGCCGCGGUAAUCUGAGCGGGCUGGCAAGGC
rnacentral:rRNA from 1 species